GAUGAACGCUGGCGGCGUGCCUAAUACAUGCAAGUCGAACGGAACUUCUUUAUCACCGGGUGCUUGCACUCACCGAUAAAGAGUUGAGUGGCGAAAGGGUGCGUAACACGUGGGCAACCUGCCCAAAAGAGGGGGAUAACACUUGGAAACAGGUGCUACUCCCGCAUAACCAUAGUUACCGCAUGGUAGCUAUGUAAAAGGUGGCUAUACUACCGCCUUUGGAUGGGGCCGCGGCGCAUUAGCUAGUUGGUAGGGUAAAGGCUUACCAAGGCAAUGAUGCGUAGCCGAAGUGAUAGGUUGAUCGGCCACAUUGGGACUGAGACACGGCCCAUACGCCUACGGGAGGCAGCAGUAGGGAAUCGUCCACAAUGGGCGAAAGCCUUAUGGAGCAACGCCGCGUGGGUGAAGAAGGUCUUCGGAUCGUAAAACCCUGUUGUUAGUGAAGAAAGUGCGUGAGAGGAACUGUUCACGGUGCGACGGUAGCUAACCAGAAAGCCACGGCUAACUACGUG
rnacentral:rRNA from 1 species